rnacentral:tRNA from 1 species
UGCAUCGGCCGGGAAUCGAACCAGGGCCGCCCGCGUGGCAGGCGAGUAUUCUACCACUGAACCACCGAUGC